GCCAAUCCAGUGGCACCCCCGGAAGGGUUCGCUGUCGACUCAUAUUUCCUCCUCACUUGAAACCGCUCCGUCGAAGAGGAGGUCGGUGAUUCAUCAUCUGUUUUGAAUUUAACAUCAGUCAACAUAAAAAAAAUCCCCCCAUCGGGUUGGGAGAGUGUGUGAGUUGACCGUGAAACUGUGCGAAAGAGUGGAAGAGGACUGUGUUUUUAAGUGAUGGUUAGUUAAAUUCUUCCCAUCAAAACAAAACGAUCGUGGUAACAAGUUCUGAGAUAUGACGGCAUACUGUGUUCUGUAAAAAUCAAAACCUGCAAGAACUCCAAAUCGUGGCAAAAUGCUAUGUCAGCGAGGACUUCAUUCGUCAAUUUACCCCGAUCGACUGUGACAUUGAUAGCGUUACGAUAGUGUUUGUGCAAUAUGGAUGGGUCCCACCACCCGCUUUUUGCAUGCAAUCUGACCGCAGCGUGCAUGUGGCCAGGGCCGGUGAUGAAUAUAUUACACAGGAACGUCGGGACAGGGAUAGGGGGCAAAAAAACACACACUACCCCUCCAGCAAGCGUCGCACAUGAGUCAAAGGCUAUUAAUCAUUCAAGUGAUCGUGAUCGCAGGGAUCCAUGAUCGUGGUAGUGGUGGCUGGAGUUAUUUUUGUAAAGAUUCUUUUAGGCUGAGACCGGUUGUGCAUCGGGAACGUGCUUAUGAAUAUGACAUUUUAAAGGAAAAUGUUCUUAUGAAUAUAUAAGUAAAGAAAAAUUGCUACAUUUAACGUUGGAAAGAUAAUGUAAGCGCAGUAACGCUGGAGCCUCAACUCUAGCUGUAUGGUAAGAAGGAGCAAAAGUGCGCACCAUCACCGAUUGAAAACUAUUUGAGAGCAAGUUAAAUUUCUCUUUUUACUUCGUUCGUUUUGAAUUAUAGAAUUUUAAUAAAAAUAUUUUUUAAUUAUAUAAUUAUUAAAUAUUCAAAUUUGAAUGUUCGUUUAAAAAAAGUCGUUUUUAUUCGCCGGCAAAAUUAUUUGAAAAUUGACAAAAUCUGUGGUCAGAACUCAUUCAUUAAACUUAGAUUGUUUGGUAACUAUUGACCUUGUGCCGAUUGUGGUAACUAUUGAUUUCCCUGUGCUUAUGCUAUACAGUCUGUUCCCGAGUUACGCGGUUCUCGACUUACGCGGAUUCGGAGAUCCGCGGUUUUCUAAAUUUGACAGAUCACAUGUCAAAUCAGUCUAAUUUGCUUAAAGUUCGGUAUUAAAUGCAUUUUUGCUAAAAAAUUUAAACCGCUUAAUAGCCAGAAAUAUUAGAAGUUUCUGCACGAAUUAUAUCAAAUAAUUGAUAAAAUGUAUAAAAGUACUAAAUUGAAUAAAAAACUCCGAGUAUUCAAUAGCAUUUUAGUCAGAAAACGUUAAAUUCGACUUACGCGGAUAUGGCAGUUACGCGGAUUCGUCGAGAACGCAGAAACCGCGUAACUCGGGAACAGACUGUACAAACAAACAUAGGAAUUUAUCCUAAAGCCAAUAGAUUUCAACACGUUUUUUAACACCGGGUUUGUAUUACAAACGUGACUGAAAUGUGGCUCAAUUAUUAAAGGUUUAAAUAAAAUUCCAGCAAAACAGUGUGCAACUAUUGAAUUCCCACCAAAUUAAAAUAAAUCCAUCUACUACGCUACGAGUACAACUCAGUGAUGAAAAUGUAACUGAACAAAAGACGGGUUUUAAAAAAAACUUCAUAAAUAAUAAUACAAGAAGAAUGAUUGAGCAUAACAUAAACCUUAUUCAAAAUAAAUUAUAUUGUUUCGAGUUACAAUUAGUGCUCGUGGUAAAACGUGAACGUAAAUCGGUGAUCUAUGAGUAAAGGGCCUAUAAUAUUAAAGGAAUAAUUCCGAAAUGUAUCUGUCGUUGACUCCAUUUCACAGAUAACUCCACUUCAUUUUCCUGACGAGGUAAGCGCUGUAAAAUGCCGUUUGACUUACCAAUUCCAUUCAAAAUUCAUAUAACUUUUAUUACAGGGUUACCCACGAUUUACUGAUUGAUUCCCAUAAUUUUUUAUGGGUUAUCUCACAAUUUAUUCAUCGUUUAUGGGAUAUUAAGUUCGAUCUCACGUAUUGGUAUCGUCCGAUUGGACAUCAAUACAGUAGAAUCAAAAACUUCUGGUAAACGCCCGAAAAAUCCUGUAAAAAUAUGGGAAGCAAGCUUUUUUUCGAAAAUCAACCAAAAAACGUUGGAAAACCCUGUAAGUAUGUAACUAGUUAAGAAUAAAAUCUUGAUUAGCAAGUUGUCACUGAGAA